AGCUGGGAGACGCGCUGCAGGUUACUGGUCAGUGAAUGAUACAACAGCAACAGAGAGACAGUGCCACAUGCCAUGAAUUUUGAAGUCAUGGAGCUGUCACAGCCAGCUUUCACCCUCACAUUGUACUCCCUCAGUAGUGAGAGAGGAGGGGAUGCUUAACAAUCUCCCAUUGCUCAUUCCAUCCCUUCACCUUCAGCAUCGGACACACAAAAUUGAUUUUAAUCAAGCAAUAAAGUAAUCUGAUCCUCCCUCUGUUGACUCACUUUCAUGCCCCAAAGAGGUCGACCUGAUUGACUUUUCUGAUGGAUUUUUACUCAUAACUGCCUAUAGCCGUGUUCAAUACAGACAAUCUCUUUCGUUUUAGUUGCAUUCAGGAAAGACUGAUGAUAUAUUGGUGUUUGCUGUGAGGUUUCAACAGUUUAUUCAUUAAAUACUUUGAU